rnacentral:lncRNA from 1 species
GCCCUUAAGAAAUUGGGCCCUGGGCUUGGGCCCUGCUCGCCCCACCCCAGGGCGGGUGUUAAAAAUAUGUGAACCCGUCUUAGACUCAAACCCACAGAUCUUCUCCAUUUAAAGAUCCAAUCCUAUUAAAGGAUCCAUCCGUCCGAUUCUAACGGUAUGAUUUUUACCGAUUUGACGAGUUCAACGGGUUAUUGAAUCCCACUUGCUCACCCUUAAAAAAAUUUGCUUAUACCUCUUUUGUUAGACGGCUCUGCUUACUUCAUUGCCCCUCCGUCCAAUUUUUGGGAAAAUGUCAUCAA